CGGGGACGCCCGGGAGAGGCCGGGAAGGGGGUGCGGCUCUGGCUGAGCGCCCUGCCUGCCGCUCCAGGGCUGCCCUUCGUGUGUCCGUGUCCAUGCUUGUGUCCGUACCCUUCGUGUGUCCGCACAGCGGCCCCGCCGGGCAAAGCAUUUGUUUUGCCCUCUGUGUUCCUGAACCUUCAGGUUUCCACUCAUCCCACACAGACGUUUGCUAGAAGUGGGCUCUCCGAUGCCUGUGAGAUGGGAGCCUCCUGAUCCGUGGGCUGAAAUGAAGUACCAGCAUUGUGAGGCAUGAUGCCCUGGGACAUCAUACCAAGGGUCUGGAGCAUGUCUUACAAGGAAAGGCUGAGGGAGCUGGGCCUGUUCAGCCUCGAGAACUGAUGACUGAGGGGACCUCAUCAAUGUCUGGGAGUGUCCUAAGGGAGGGUGUCAGGAUGUAUUCGGGCUCUGCUCAGUGGUGCCCAGCAGUAAGACAGGAGGCAAGAGGCAGAAACUGAUGAUGGACAGGAAGCUCCACCUGAGUAUGAGGAAGAACUUUACUGUGUGAGUGACUGUGCACUGGAACAGGUUGCCCAGAGAGGUUGUGGAUUCUCCCUGACUGGAGAUGUUUGAGAACCAUCUGGACACAAUGCUCUGUGCCAUGUGCUCUAGGAUGAUCCUGCUUGAGCAGGGAGGUUGGACCAGAUGAUCCACUGUGGCACCUUCCAACGUGACACAUUCUGUGAUUCUGUCCUGUCAGCAGAGGUUUGAUCACCACAGGGAUCCUUAAUAUUAGGAGAAAUCAAGGGGGGCUCAUGUUUUGGACUCCUACACCUUAAAAAAGGUGCUCUCAAGGUGCUUGAUUGCAGGGUAAAUAUUAAAUUACUCCACCAUCUGGAAAAGUUAUUUUAAAGGGGAAAAAACCCAUGAGCAGUGAUGUCUGGGCUUCGAUAGACAAAUCACUUCUAUAAAAACCAUCUCCAUACAUCUGUCUUAGGAAAUAAAUAUUUGAACAACAAGGUGCUUUAUCAUAGUUAAGCUACUGAAAGGCAAAAAGAAUCAAUGAUUGUGCAAUGCAUUCCCUGCUUCUAUUCCACUAAGUAAAGUCAAAGCCUUUUAAUCUGAUAUCAACUGUGCUCGAGUCCUGCAAAAAGGAAGAGCUUUUAGGAGAACACAUGCUAGCAGCUAUCCUCACUGAAUUUAGCACUGUUCAAGGUUUCUCCUUAUGCAGAGGAAUUGUAUGUCAUAUGUAUGAAUGUAUAAAGAAUCCUCUAGAAACACAAAGAAUGAAUUUAGCACCACAUGCUUUAGAUAAUCUUAUCCAUCAGUUCACAGACCCAGCAAGCACAUUGGGCUUGGUUUUGGGCACAUUACUCUUGUAUGUGGCUGUGUUUUAGUCUUGCAGGCUAAAAGUCUUGCAGUCUCCCUGAGGUCUCAAGGUGCAGUGUGAGAGUCACCUGAAUGUAAUGUAGUGGUCUGGAGUACAACAGGAGACCAGACUAGUGACAUUAUCAGUGUGACCCAACAGAAGGGAGUCUGUAAAGCAGCAUAGUUGCUGGUGGGAGCCUGAUGUUCUGUAUGCAUGCAGGAGGAUUUACUUCUCUGGACCUGUGAAUAUUCAUUAGUGGCUGAGGUGCUUUAAGUGAGUUCCUGGAGCACAUCUUCUGUUUUGGUUUAUUCAAAAGGAGUCCAGCUUGCUUUCUGAAACUGUGUCAAGCUGCAAAAGCACUCAAAGGAAAGUUACUCUGUGCAGAACUCUACAGUGUUUUGAUCAGCCUCUUGACAGCAAGAGUUUGGGGCUGUCUAAGCCUUGGGCAGCCCAUCCCCUAGUUUUCUCCUGCACCACCUCCUACAACAUACAACAACUCACUUCUUUGGUCAUCUCUCUGUCAAUAAUGAGGCACUGCAGACACGAACACUCACUGAACAUUACAUGAUAGCCACCUUUAGCAGUUUGCAUUUCUGUUGUGUGUAGGUUAAACAGUCUCCAAGGUUACAGCACCCCAAUUUUUUUUUUUUUAAACUGAAAAACCACCCAAGCAUUUUGGAGCCCCAUUUGAAUGUUCUUCAGUUUUACUCUCCACUCUUCAACAGACAUCUCAGCAAGGCUCACAGAAAAUCUUAACCUCGUUAGAAGAGCUUUAACUAAGCCUUGAAAUUGGUAAUACUGCCUCAACACAAUGUGCUCAUGAUGAUGCACCUGAUACUGCAAUUUCUAAUAUCUGAGGCAUAGAGUACAAACUGUGCCAAGGUUUAAGAACUACAGUGAAGUUACUAAUUUGGCAUAUUUUGUACUGCAUAUUGUACUGUAUAUCUAUCUAUAUGUAUUUAACAAUGGAGAAAAAAGCUAGAGCAGAGAUAACCAGGAGAUUAGUGAAACAAAGCUUGGGGUAGGUGGAAAUUGAGUUAUCCUCUCUGUAAGUUAAACUUGGCUUUAUCCUGAAAAAACAUGAACUUUCUUGCUAUAAAGAUGAAAUGAAUGAAAAAAACUCGCUAUGUUCAUCUUCCCUCUUAGAUUAUAGUGCCCCAAAGGGAUGAUUUUAUAAAGAAAAAACCUUAUUGUACAGAUCAGGAAUUUUGAAUGUGUAAGUGAUGCAGGGACUGUGUAAGCAGAUUAGCUUUUCUCACAUUUGGAUCAGAUAGUUUGUGUGUAACAAAGCUGUUUCUUGGUUAGGCUUGAAUAUCUCAGUUUCAUAUACUUUCUGUUGAGUACAUCAGAGAGUGUUAGGGCAGAAAGGGAAGGCAGGUACCAGGCCCUGAGGCACAGAAGUGUGCUACUGGGAGUAUUCCACCUGCCCACAGAUCAUAUGGCCCUCUGUAAACCAGAGCAAAUAUUGUCCUGCUGUAGCAUGCAGUCCCACAGAAGGAUGUGGCUUUUGGGAAAUGGUUUAGGAACAUGCAGUGCACAGUUGUAAAUUAUCUGCUGUCCUGUUUUAAGAACUUAUCCCUUACACUGCUUCUAGCUAUUGUCAAGUUCUUGGAAUGAGCUGGAUAUUAGCACCAUGCUCUAAACUACUGAGCUAAUCUUGGGGUCAAAAGAUUCACAGAAUAUUCUGAGUUGGAAGGGACCCACAAGGACUACCAAGUCCUGCUGUUAAGUAAAUGGCUCAUACAGGGGUUGAACCCAUAACCUUGCUGUUAAUUAACCUUGGUGAAUAUGCACUGUUGUUUAAGAAUAUCAGUGAGCAGUAAAAAAACAGAACUGUUUGCCAUGGGGAAAUAUGAGUCAGCUUCUAAUUCAUUAAAAAUGCACAAAUGAAGACAAACCAAUUUUCCACAAAUAAUUGUAACGCCAGAAAAAUUAACCCUGUGUGGAACUGCACACUAAGGAUCUGCCUUCUAUUCUUUUGAAAUAAGUCAAUCCUGGCACAAGAAUUUUUACUAGUUACCAGUGAAACACAUGAAAUCCCAUCUGCAUGUAAGAAAAUGCUGUUUACUCUCAGACCGGUUGCUCAUGGGAGCAGGUUGCUUAGACUGUGGAUUCUACAUCUGUGGUGGUAUUCAAAACCAUCUAGACAUGGUCCUGGACAAUCUGGUGUAGUUGACCCCAACUGAGCAGGGGGAUUCAACAAUAUGCUCUCAAAAGGUCCCUUCCAACCUCAACAGGUUGAUGUGAUGCAUUAGUGUAAAUGGAGAUACAUUUGCAUUUACACUUAGUGACUAAUGCAUAGCUCACCAAGUCAGCCUGCACUUUCUAGAUUAAAAGUUGUUAAUUUCUAAUUUUAACAAUUAAUUUAAAUUGCUAAUUUUAAUUAUUAGUUUAAAUUCUUAGAUUUAACAAUUAACAAUAAAUUAAAUUGUUAAAAUAAUUUCUCUGAUGUCAAAAUAAUUUCUCUUAAAUCCCCUAAGUACAUCACUGUGCUACCUUCUCUGAACACCUGGCCAAAGGAGUUACUAAGAUAAGAAGGAAUGGGAGUGGUGCACCACACCACUUUUUUAGCACUGCUUGCAUAAAAAAAAGGUUAUAUAAUUGUUAAGUUGUGCUGGAGACUUUAUAUGUGUAUUUUAUUAAUUGAAUUGGAAGAAAUCUCUACCCUGAAAUUGCCCAUCAGAAGUUGUAGACUUAUUUGUUUGCACUGUGUCUGUACCCCAAAUUCCUAUUCAUAAUUCUAGACUAGUAAAACUUUAUGUCUCCUGUCCUGACUGAAAGUUCAUCUCAGCAAGACCUAGUUCUUAAUUUAUUUUGAAAUUAUAAAUAUGUAACUUUACUUCACCCAGUUACAUCCUGGACUUCUGAGGAAACAUGAAAUACUAAAAAAUACAGAAUCUUCUUAAACAAACAAUGUUAUUUUUUUCUGCGAUAACCAACUCAUAGGCAGUACUGGAAAAUAGAGUAAACAUAAAAUAUCUUCUAUUGUGAAUGACAAAAUUGUCUGGUUCAGCUGCAGUAAGAUUUAGCUGAUAAGGGAGGGUGGUAAUACACAUCUAACACAACAGCCAGGACAGAGAGAGCGUUUCAUUCAGUAGCAGAGAGACAGCAGUGGCUAGCAAGGACAGGAGUGACUAAAUACCCAUCUCAAAGACUUGGCAUGCCCAGUUUUUUCAACUGGUUUUGCUUUGAUGCUUUUGCAGAAGCUUGUAUUGUGUUUGGGCUGCCAAGCAAACCUGGAGGUGCCUCCCAUCAUCUGCUAGCCCCCGUGCAGGGAAUGCUGAUCGUUGCCAAUUCCUCCUCUCUUGAUAGGAAUGACUCUCAGCAGAAUGCCACACUUCUGGCUUUCUGCUCUCUGCCAGACAAUACAGCAGCAACCAAGCUCUUUCUGUCACCAGCUGGAAGCUCUUUUUCUAUCUAAUUUUUUAUUCUAGUGCUCAUCCUCAAAAUGUCUUUCACACAACUUGUGGAAACUGUCAUUUUUCAGUGUGUGUCCUUCCCAUUGAUACAAUCUGCUGCUGAAGGCUCACAUUUCUCUCUGUGAGCUGAAGGCUCACAGUGGCAGGGGGUCUCCAUCUUACUGUGAUGAUAUUGCACUACAGAUGGUUCUAUAGGAUGGUUUUCCUGGAUACUGAUGCUUUUUUGUUUCAUUUUGUUGUGUUUUAUUUUUCUUGUCUGUGUAUCAAAAAUGUUUCAUAUUCUGGAAAAUAAGAACAAGAUCAAGAAAUCUUCGGGUAAGGUAUAUUCAUGCCUCUGGAGCAUCCUUUUUUUUCCUGCCUUUUUAGUUCAUGGCUAUGCUGGUGGAUUAAACCCCUUCCCCGUUCACUAAUUUACACUCUUCCAGCCUUCUUUCAAAUCUUGUUCUUAGACACACAAAGCCACUGUGGAAAUGGACAGAAAACUAUUCCUGUAAUUUCCUCACUUAUUAAUCUGCCAUGUGUCUGCAUCUCCAUAACUAAAAGCCUCUCUUAAAAUGAGCUUGGAAAAAAAUCCACAAUAGAAACCUCAAAAUGGAUGUAAAAAGGGAAGGAAACACACAUAUUGAUGUGACACAAAAAGUGAAUCGCAAACUGAGUUUAGGGAAACAACCAUGAAUAACUUUCUCCUCUGUUUGUUCAGCUUUGUAUGUUUUUAUAGUCUGAUGGUCAUCUGAGAUUAAUUGCAAAGGAUGGAAAGAUAAUGUGUGUUAAAGGAGAAAAUGAAGGGAGAAGCAGGAGGUUGAAACCAACCUGCAGAAAGAAACCAGUAAUUGCAUAUUUGAGCUCUUAGGUAAAUUGCCACAAAUGCAAAUGGGAAUAAAUGAACACACUGAAAUUACUUCAGACUUUCUUACAAAUACCUUGUUUCAUGUUAUGAUUAUUGCUACCCACUUGCUAAAACAAAAAUAAAAAUUAGAACAGUUUAAAACUAUUCAAGCUAAAUCAUGGGAAUUUCUCUACAAGUGAAUGAGAUAAUCAUAAUCCUUGUUUUCCUGGAUGACAGCAGUGUUGCACAAUGUUCAUAACCGCUGCAGAGGACACACUGGAAAAAUGGGUGUUUGUGAAGAAAAACUAGUACUUAUUAUCCAUGGGAAAUGUUUGGCUGCCAGAGCUCCCACCCAUGAAUCUCAGAUUCACUAGCCACAAGUAAUUUUGCCUUUUUUUUCCUGUUUAUAGAAGGAACACAAUUGUGUCCAUUUCACAUAUGCAUCAUGGAAAGACAGCAGCUUAAGCAGAUGUGGAGCAGCAUUACUGUAAGUCUUAGCAGUAUAGUUACUAGCUAAUAAAGUACAAUUGAAUGAACCAGGAGAGGUUGAAUUAGGGUGUCUUUGCUGGAAGUAACCCUGGAAACUGUAAAUAUUAUAAUUAAGAUACCUUUGAAAACCUUUAGGUGCCUUUUUGGAGUAUAUUAACUGGUAAAUCUGACUAGCUAUGCUGGUAAUGUACAACUGCUAGGGAUAAUUGAAAAUGCACAGGACUUCAAUUUUUUAACUAAAAUAUUCAUGUGAAUGAGGGGGGAAGAAAUCCUGUUUAUGAACAUUUUGCAAAAAAUAUAAUCUCUUCUCAAGCAUCUUCAAGCCUUGCAUGAACUUAUGCAGCCACUGGCCUAGCAGCUUUAUAAUUUAUGAGCAGCCCAGAUGGCACACUAUGAUUCAGAACGCAGACUAAAUCUUUGUAAUACUCCGUUUAAUUUUGGCUUAUUUAGAUUAAUCAUGAAACUGUCCUCUAUGUUUUCUUAACCUAGGCAAUUCUAGGUUUGAGAGGGUUUGUAUUUUGGCUUUGUUUGUUUGGUUUUUUGUUGUUGGCAUCUUAAUAUAACAUAUAUCCUUCUUAUCAGAGUAAAUUAUAUAAUGGAUAUUUCCAGAAAUGACUGGAGAUAGGGAUUUUUACAAUUUCAGACAUUUCUGAUGGCAGCUGAGGAAAUUUUAUGUUUUUCACUUUGUCACAGAAAACAUAUCCAAGUGUGUUUAUUUUCCUUGUAAGGGAUUCACUGCAGGACAACAGCUUGGUGCUCAUGACCAGCUAUGAUGGAUUCACAUGGGUGAAGUACACAGGUGUCUUUCAGGGCCAGCAUACCUAGUUGAAAACCUUAUCAACUGCAAGAUAUAAUAAUUUGUCUCUUGGGAAUUCCUGGUCUGUGGUGAGGAUAGGGUGUAAUGCAGAUGAAUGCAAAUAGCUAACAUUUAGCAUUAGUAUAAAUUUUAAAUGGUUACCAAAGUAUCUAGGAACAAAAUUUUCUUAAUGUAGAAGUCAUCUUAAAAUGUUUAAUAUAGUGGGAACACUUAAGGGCUUCUUUUUCACUUAUUUGACAUCAUUCUUCUAUCCCUCAUUAACAAAUUAGCAUGCCUAAAAAACCUUGUGCUACUUUUAUUAUAAUUAAUCUCUAAGUUUCCUGAUUCAACCAACCAUCUAAUUUUUUUUUCCAAUUUUACCACUGUCAGUGGGUCUCAGGUGAAAAUUUGACGCUUCUUCUUCUGAAUGUAAUGAUGCGCCUUCCACUGAUAAUGAUACAUGAUGAAUCCUGAGCUCAUGUAACUUACUCAAGGCCAGCGUUCUGGUAUCACUAUAACAUUAAAAACAAUGCAUAGAGUAUGGUUUCUAUGCCGCAACUGGAACAUAGUACAUGGAACAUGGAUCCAAACAGAAUUAAAUCAAAUGGACAGAUAUCUGUAAAUCACCAGGGCAGACUGGCAUUCAACCAAGAUUUUGAAGGAACUCAAAUGUGAAAUUGCAGAACUGCUGGCCAAGUUGUCUCACAAAUCUAUAGAAACAGUCACUAUGCCAGACUGCCAGUGAAACUUCCACUUAUAGAUGAAGGGUAUAUGGAUUCUGAAAUUCAAGACAUAUGCUGAACACCUAAUUGGGCUGCCAAUGGCUCAAAAAUAUUAUAAGUUCAAAAACUCAGGUAAUACAAAGUUUGCUGCCUGGGUAUUUCACAUUUACAAACCUGUGGUAUUCAGGAAAUAGAGUUUAUAUUGAUAUUUUAGCUAUUAGAAUUGGUUACAUUAUGACAAAUCAGUAAUUUGUUGGAGAUCUUUAAUUCAUUUUGGCUUUUAAAGCAGAAAAUACAACAUGCUUUGCAAUGUCUCUUCCAUUAUGAAGAUCAAAAAUAAUUCAAGGAUGAACUGAAAUUUUCAUUGAAUGCUUUCCAUACAGUCUUUGAAACUGAAAAUAAUUUUAAAAGCCCAGAUUUUGUCAGACAUUUGCAGAAGCCAGUUGUGACUGGAAAAAGUCCCCUGAAACAACCCACCAUAAAUUAGUAGGAAGAUAAGAGCUACCAUUAUUUCAGCCAGAUGAGAACUUCAUGUAAUUUGUUGUUCUCAAAGUGUGGCCAGUUACACCACUUAGGGAAAGAAAUUCCUCUUUGUCUCCUAUGGUUUUUCUAUGAUACACCCACUUCUGCCAGUCAGUGAGUGGUUUAGGGACAGACCCCUAAGCAUCUGCACAUAUGUGAGCUUUUUUAAUAGCCAGUAAGGGACUAUCUCACAGCUAAUGAGGUGAAUCUUCUUUUCAAGACAUUCCUAGUCUGGCACCCCACAGCAUUCUUCUGCCUCAGGUCUACACUCCUGCCAUGUGCUGGGUUAAGUAAGUGGGGGUUUUUUGCCUGUUAAAUCUGCUGAACCUCCUCAUUUUCUUGAUGGGAAAGAAGAAAGAUGGGAAAGAUGGCACCAUGUUAUUUUUCAGAUUGUGCCUGAGCAGAAGAGUAUUUGGUAUGUGCCACCUGCAUCUAUACAGGUGCAAAACUUUUUCAUCCCUUUUGUUUCUGAAUUACUCCUGAUAAAGGUGCUUUCAUUGGUCACUGGGCUGAUAGUUUUGCUGGACUGUCUGCAAUGGCUUGCAGAACUUUUUAAACUGACAGUAGCUAUAGACAUGAUGGUGAGUCUAGAGUUAGAUUUCUCCCUGUUUUAUGCUUGCUGACAAUGAAUUUUAUUUUCCUUCUAUGUAGUACACAUGUGAAACCUUGAAUGGUCCAGUUUCAGGUAUCACAGAGAUUUGAAUGUACUGUAUGACAAGCUGGUUGAGACUGACAAAACUGGUAGAAACACUUCAAACUUUUAUUCUACACAUCCUCAAACUGUUAAUCCAUUAAGAUAUUUAUUCUAAACCAUUCUAUUUUAUUUAGAAUAAAAUAAUUUAUUCGAAAUUAUUUUAUUUCUUACAUUCCAGCAGAAGUUUUGAUGACAUUCCUACUGAGAAUUAUUGAGAACAAUAUUUCUUAGGAACAAAUCAGUCCAAUACAGAAAUGUGAGAAACUUUACAGGCAUAUAUUGCUUGUUAAUUUCAGUGAAUCACCAUUUUAGAAGGUUUGUUCAUCUACUGUAAUACACAUAACAGAAUUUAUAUUGCUGACUCAAAAGUGAAAGGCUCUGAUGAACCUCAAUGCCUAAAAUUUUUUAGUUAAGCAGUUUCAUAGAUAUUUAUAAAAGAAAUUGGUCUUAAAUUAUUUAUUUAUUAUCCACUAUUAAAACACUUGAAACAACACUGACAUCUGUUUCAACGUUUUUGGUAGCCAAAAUAAUGCAUUAGUGUGCAUGAAUAACUCAGUGGUGUGAGGCUCAGGUAACCAAAGGACACUCUCUAGGUGUGUCAAACAGCAAGUUAUGACAACAGCUGCGUAAAGUUUGCUUUGAGCUUGUUCAACCAAAUAAUUAUUUGAGCAAAGAGCACCCACCAUCAGAGGCAGCUACUGCCUGGCAGUGAAGCUGUUCACUCAUUAGUUAAAAAUGCCUAACUAACACCUAAACUGCAAAUACCAUGCAUGUCAGUACUGCCAACUCAUCUGCGUGUUUUACUAAUUAUCUAGAAAUCUAGUGUUUUCUUAUAUUUGUAGAGAUAAUUCUUGAUAUUUAUCUCAUUUCUGGCAAAAAGUGGCAACGUAGGAGUAACUGCUUUCAGACAGAUGAUUUAUCAAAUUAUGCUGCUUACACAUGAAUUAUAUGGAACCAGUCUGGAUUACAUUUGCUCAUGUCCAUAUUCAUGACCUUCCAGUUGCUGAGUUUACAAACUUUCAUAAACCAAAGACUAAUUUCUAAUUCAAAUCAGUAGUGUGAAGGCCUGGAAAGUUCAGAAAUGGGAAAGAACUUAAGAAAGUCCAAGACAUAUAGAAAGUGGCUGAGGUCCUUCAGUAGGUGGCACACUUCCCUCUCAAUCAGUUGAGAAGGAAAGUAUUUGCAGGAUGCUUGGGGCGCUUGCCUGUGGGAAGAUUCCAGGGAUGCAAAACCAGGAAGGUAGCCAAUGUGGUUAGGAAGGUUCCCAUGGCAUGUGCCAGAGGAGUUAUGGAGAUAGGAUAAUGUGGUGAAAUUCUAGAUAGCUGCAAGUUAGUUAAUGCAAUUUUUCUCAUCCAAAGUGCUCCCUGCCAUUUUGAGAUAUCUUUACUCUGUUUUCAAGAUGUCACUAAUCACUGUUAAGAGUGGUCUGCCCCUCUGCUCUCUCCAACCCAUACAUGAAAUUCUCUAUGCAUGAAGUACUGGAGGUUUCUUUGAAUUGGAAGAUGAUGUAAAAGAGUUGACUGUUUGAGAAGAAUGCUAAAUGAAAGGCUAUCAGGGCUAAUGGGAAUAAAAAUAGGCAAGCUUUUAGAAAAUUAAGUCACUUAAUAGUUCAGGUUAUAUAUAACUCAGAAGUUGCUAAAUCAUGCCAUGCUUUUGGCAGGCUCUUACUUCAGUUGUUCCUAUAAAAAAUGGGGCAGGGUGAAGGGGAGAAUUGAGUCCUGUAUACAAAAUCUGCAGGAGCUAAUACUUUAUAUUUAACGAGAAAUAACCAGUGCUUAGUAACAUGUUCCACUUGUCAACAAGGCAAAAUAUUUUUUCCAAAUCCCUAAAAGUUUUAAAAAAACUUAAUUGGGUUGUGAUGUUAAAAAGGGCAAGCAAAGAGAACUUACAAGCUUUAUUUAUCUCACAUGAGAAGUGCACAUAAUCCCUUGCCUGAGUUUCGAGUCAGCAGCAUAGAUUUUCCUAUUCAGCUAGUCAAUUAGCUAUGAAAAAAAAUUAAAAUGAGUAAAAGUAAUCAAAUUUUAUUUUAAAAAAAUUUUCCCAGGAUUCAUGGGCUUUAAAAAAAUGUUCCCAUGAAAGGGUAUAAUUUCAGAAAAUUCUGCCUUUUUCAUUUUUUCACCCUCUUCCAAGGUCAAGUGAUGACAUGUUGUUAUCAAGUUGUUGAUGCACACAGCAUGUUAGUUCUGCAUCUGGAAAUACUUUAUUUAGAAAAAAAUAACUCUUUUUUUUUUGUGAGGAAAUCUCAAGAUAGCAGAAAAAUAUUUUUCCUUCAGGAAAUACAGCCAUUUGUUCAUUACCAGGCAAACAGGACUCCCCUUCCUUUGGGCCCUCUGCCAGAGUUAUUUACACACAGGCUUGUUCAAGCUCACCACCUUGGCUUCGUGCUCCUUCACACCAUUUGAUACUGUAUGAGAUUGGAGCUGUUGUGGAUAAAGAAGUGCUUCACUGUGACUCCUUUGUGUUCUGUGGAGGAGUCAUGGGCACACUCCCCUAUGAGGAAAGAUUACCCUUGUUUAUGUGGGAGAGUAGACAAACAAGAUACAGCAGCCUGGAUUCAAGGAACACAUAGGAAGAGGUGUUGAGAGGGUGAAAUGGCAGUGUCUUUUUCUCUCAUAUGAUAAGAUGGCACUUGAGCAAAAGGAAAGCAAUGUGUAGAAAUGAGAAAGUGGAAUGCUGUGGCUGGAAAUGCAUUUUAUGGUAUUAAAUGACCAAAUGAUAUGUGAAACUCAUAGCUGCUAGUUAUCUCUAUGAAGAGCUUGAGAUGGUCAGUAGAAGGUAGGUAGCUCCUAACAUAAAAAAUCAGUUACCUGAAUUAGUACUGCUCUUCAAAUGGAUUUUGUGAUGCAUUUGACAUCCUAAGUAAAGUCAGAGGCAAACGCAGCCCUUUUAGUACUCUAGCCAAUUCUUCUGAUCCAUCUGGGUCUCCCUUCUUUCCCACGGUCCUUGCUGGCCCCAGAGCCACUGGAUGUGCCCUCUCAGGCUCUCCUUGGCAGGGUCUGGUGGCUGGGACCCUCACUCUUACAGGCCAUUCAUCAUCCAGCACCCAGCUCAGGGCCCUUCUCUCUCUGAUGAGCAGAGAAACAGCAUGUCAGAAAAAUGAGAGAAGAAGUAUGGCAGGAAGCUCCUGUAUAAAUAAGGACAACAUGUUUUAAAUAUCAUUGGUAGGAAACUUCUAGUAUUUAUUGAUGAGGAAAGCCAUUCACAGGCAGUUUCACAUAGAUUUUCUAAUUUAAUCAAACCUUAAGAAAGAGGAUCUAAACAGCAAAAUAACACCAUUAAUUUUGUUUUGCACUCCUAACCUCUGAGACUUUCAGAAAAUUAGAUACAUUUGGUCCAUUUUGCUUUACACUGCUCACAGUGAAAUCAGUAAAGAGGUAUCAAUGCCUUAUAUAAAGGAAUUAUCCCUUUUGCUGCAGUUCUAUCUAACAAAGUAACAACUUUGUGAAGAAUAGUAAUGAGCUUGUGGGUACAGGUUUGGAGACGAAGUAAUUUUUUCUUAAGAAAGGAUGAAUUCUUUUAAAAUCAUUAGCUAUUUUAGGAAUGAAUGGUUGUUUAACAUUUCAAUUCAAUUGCACUAUUAUAGAAAAAUUAUGUAAUGCUUUCUCCUAUCUACUUUGAGAGCAGCACAGUUUACAAAACUGAUGGAGUCUGUGUGCUCUGAGAUUAAACCAGAUUUUCAGAAUAAUUUAUAGCAUUUAAUAAUCUGUGAACAUUAUUGCUGAAUAUUAUCACUGUAUGUUGUGUUUGCUGUGAGCUGCAGCUGUGAUGGCCAAGGUGCUUUCCAAGCAUCAAGAAUUACUUAUGUUUUGAUGAAUCUGCAAAAUCUAUAUUUAAAUAACAGCUGUAAAUCUUACAUCUGAGAGCUCCCUUAGUUAUCUUCUUUGUUAAAGUGAUAGUUUUAUUAAAUGCUGGGUGUAAACACAGAAAAAAAAUCUAGAGGGAAAUGAUAGGAUGGUAUGAAGCAAGGACAGCACUAUUAAGUUAUGUUGUUGCCACGAGUAGGCGAGAGAAAAUGAUUCAGACGUCUGAUGCCUCUCUGCGGAGUCACUGGGAGGAAAACUACCCUGGCAUCCCAGCUGCAGUCCCCUGUGGCACAGUGCUCCUGCCUCAUGCUCCCCGUGGGAGAGGAGUGUAGCAUCAGUGGGGGAUGAAGGGUCAGUCUGUACUCAGUUACACCCACUCCCCUACAGUGUGCACAAACAGGGAGAGGGCUGAAGGAGCCCUGGGAGGAUCUCUGUGCCUCUUUGCCUGGGGAGGUCUCCUCCAAGCUAAGGACCCUUGCAGCUGCAAGUUGUGCAGCUUGUCAAAACCCGCUCUGGGACUUGAGCCAGACAAAUUUUGUAGAACAGCGAGGGUCUCUGAGCACAGGUAUAGCUUCACUCUCUCACUCCUGGAAGCACCAAAGUGCUGAAGAGUUGUAGCUCCAGCACAUACCUUGUAGAGCCACAGUGAAGGAAAUGGCUGUGGCUCAGAUGGUGCAAUACUAAGAGAAUGUGGGAAAGCACACACAGUAUGGCUUCUUGAGGUAACCAAUGUAAUUGGAAAAAGACCCUUAUUUUGAAAGGCAUAAUGGAGAAGCAUUUUUUACUUUGCUUUGAGACUGAUUGUAAAUAAACUCCUAUU